rnacentral:lncRNA from 1 species
GCUGUCGGAAUUAUCAUUCAUAAUAUGUUAAUUUAGUUGUAUCUUUCUGAUGAUGGUCAGGUUGGCUGAGCCACACUUGGGCCUGAUUACUCAUUUGUCAGAUACACUAAAUUUUGACAUGUUAAUGGUUGGACCUAACCAAAACUUUCAAUGGAGGCACCACAUGCCUACUGAAGAAGUGUCUGGGGCAAAAUUAAAUGCUGAAAAUUAUUUGGUAAAACAAUUGGUUAAGAAUCUACCCAUGAGUGCAUAAGGGUUGGUCGAGCCACACUCAGGCCCAUGUAUAGCCUGUGAGGAUUCUAGUACCCAUUAAAAAAUUAGUAUAAUUCCUCGAAUUGGAGGUAGAGGCUAUCAAUUCGAAUAAAAUAAUGAGAGAACCUUUAGACUAAAGUCC